rnacentral:tRNA from 1 species
CUUAAUAGAAGCCAAAAAGAGGCUAUUCACUGUUAAUGAAUUCAAUGGUACCCCCUAUUAAGACCA